AUUGAACGCUGGCGGCAUGCCUUACACAUGCAAGUCGAACGGCAGCACAGGUGCUUGCACCUGGUGGCGAGUGGCGAACGGGUGAGUAAUACAUCGGAACAUGUCCUGUAGUGGGGGAUAGCCCGGCGAAAGCCGGAUUAAUACCGCAUACGAUCUACGGAUGAAAGCGGGGGACCUUCGGGCCUCGCGCUAUAGGGUUGGCCGAUGGCUGAUUAGCUAGUUGGUGGGGUAAAGGCCUACUAAGGCGACGAUCAGUAGCUGGUCUGAGAGGACGACCAGCCACACUGGGACUGAGACACGGCCCAGACUCCUACGGGAGGCAGCAGUGGGGAAUUUUGGACAAUGGGCGAAAGCCUGAUCCAGCAAUGCCGCGUGUGUGAAGAAGGCCUUCGGGUUGUAAAGCACUUUUGUCCGGAAAGAAAUCCUUGGCCCUAAUACGGUCGGGGGAUGACGGUACCGGAAGAAUAAGCACCGGCUAACUACGUG
rnacentral:rRNA from 1 species